CCACAUUGGGACAUCCCAGAGGGGUCAAAGGAGCAAUCCGGUGAAGGGUGGGCUCGCGUCCGAUUAGAUAGUUGGUGAGGUAACGGCCCACCAAGUCGACGAUCGGUAGCCGACCUGAGAGGGUGAUCGGCCACAUUGGGACUGAGACACGGCCCAAACUCCUACGGGAGGCAGCAGUGGGGAAUAUUGGGCAAUGGGGGAAACCCUGACCCAGCAACGCCGCGUGAGGGAAGAAGGUUUUCGGAUCGUAAACCUCUGUCCUUGGUGAAGAGUGAGAGACGGUAGCCAAGGAGGAAGCCCCGGCUAACUACGUGCCAGCAGCCGCGGUAAUACGUAGGGGGCGAGCGUUGUCCGGAAUGAUUGGGCGUAAAGGGCGCGUAGGCGGCCCGGUAAGUCUGAAGUGAAAGUCCUGCUUUCAAGGUGGGAAUUGCUUUGGAUACUGUCGGGCUUGAGUGCAGGAGAGGUAAGUGGAAUUCCCAGUGUAGCGGUGAAAUGCGUAGAGAUUGGGAGGAACACCAGUGGCGAAGGCGACUUACUGGACUGUAACUGACGCUGAGGCGCGAAAGUGUGGGGAGCAAAC
rnacentral:rRNA from 1 species